AUACGUAGGCAGCAAGCGUUGUUCGGAAUUACUGGGCGUAAAGAGUGCGUAGGUGGUUGGCCAAGUUUGGUGUGAAAUCUUCCCGGCUUAACUGGGAGGGUGCGCCGAAAACUGGUUGACUAGAGUGUGGGAGAGGGACGUGGAAUUCCUGGUGUAGCGGUGAAAUGCGUAGAUAUCAGGAGGAACACCUGCGGUGUAGACGGCGUCCUGGACCAUGACUGACACUGAGGCACGAAAGCGUGGGGAGC
rnacentral:rRNA from 1 species